GGCCUGAUGGUCUAGUGGUAUGAUUCCUUGUUAGGGUGGAAGUCCUGUGUACCACUUGAGGAGGUCCCGGGUUCAAUUCCCCGUUUCGUCU